AGCGGGAGGAAGGGAGGGGGCGCCCUCGGCCCCCGUCGCGCGGCUGCGGGCUAGACUCGCCUUCCCAACAGAGAAAAGGCGCUGGUGCCAAGGGGCGCGGAGCGGCUGGCGCUGCCAGGAGUGAGAGAAAGGGAGAGGUCACCAGCUCGCGCCUAUCAUCUCUCCCUCCAACUCAAAAGCGCUAGGAGGGACGUGAUUGCGCCUCCCAGGCUUUAAGCACCCCAAGAACCGACUGCCCUUAGAAUAAAGGGAAUGAGGACAGCAUGGUCAGAAGUCUGAACAGAAUAUGAACAAAGCAGUGAAGCCUCAGAAACAAUAUGGGUGAAGAAUCAGCCAGAGAACUUCUUAACAAUAACAAACUCAGUUUACAAGAUACAACUGUGGGAUUGGAGCCGCCAUAUUGCAAGGAGGUCAAAUCAUCAUAUAAAUGAGAACCAAUCAGAGAUAA
rnacentral:lncRNA from 1 species